UGGGGAAUAUUGCGCAAUGGGGGAAACCCUGACGCAGCAACGCCGCGUGAAGGAAGAAGGCCUUCGGGUUGUAAACUUCUUUGAUUGGGGACGAAGGAAGUGACGGUACCCAAAGAACAAGUCACGGCUAACUACGUGCCAGCAGCCGCGGUAAUACGUAGGUGGCGAGCGUUGUCCGGAAUUACUGGGUGUAAAGGGCGCGUAGGCGGGAUGCAAGUCAGAUGUGAAAUUCCGGGGCUUAACCCCGGGGCUACAUCUGAAACUGUAUCUCUUGAGUGCUGGAGAGGAAAGCGGAAUUCCUAGUGUAGCGGUGAAAUGCGUAGAUAUUAGGAGGAACACCAGUGGCGAAGGCGGCUUUCUGGACAGUAACUGACGCUGAGGCGCGAACGCGUGGGGAGCAAACAGGAUUAGAUACCCUGGUAGUCCACGCCGUAAACGAUGGAUACUAGGUGUAGGAGGUAUCGACCCCUUCUGUGCCGGAGUUAACACAAUAAGUAUCCCACCUGGGGAGUACGGCCGCAAGGUUGAAAUUCAAAGGAAUUGACGGGGGCCCGCACAAGCCGUGGAGUAUGUGGUUUAAUUCGAAGCAACGCGAAGAACCUUACCAGGGCUUGACAUCCCUCUGACAGCUCUAGAGAUAGGGCUUCCUUCGG
rnacentral:rRNA from 1 species